CCUACGGGUGGCUGCAGUGGGGAAUAUUGCACAAUGGGGGAAACCCUGAUGCAGCGACGCCGCGUGAGUGAAGAAGUAUUUCGGUACGUAAAGCUCUAUCAGCAGGGAAGAAAAUGACGGUACCUGACUAAGAAGCCCCGGCUAACUACGUGCCAGCAGCCGCGGUAAUACGUAGGGGGCAAGCGUUAUCCGGAUUUACUGGGUGUAAAGGGAGCGUAGACGGCAGCGCAAGUCUGAAGUGAAAUCCCAUGGCUUAACCAUGGAACUGCUUUGGAAACUGGCAAACUGGAGUGUGUGAGAGGAUAGUGGAAUUCCAGGUGUAGGAGUGAAAUCCGUAGAUAUCUGGAGGAACAUCAGUGGCGAAGGCGACUAUCUGGCACAUAACUGACGCUGAGGAGCGAAAGCGUGGGUAGCAAACAGGAUUAGAUACCCCGGUAGUC
rnacentral:rRNA from 1 species